AGUGGCGAAGGCGCUCUACUGGGCCGUAACUGACGCUGAGGGACGAAAGCUAGGGGAGCGAAAGGGAUUAGAUACCCCUGUAGUCCUAGCUGUAAACGAUGGAUACUAGGUGUUGGACGUAUCGACCCGUUCAGUACCGCAGCCAACGCGAUAAGUAUCCCGCCUGGGGAGUACGCACGCAAGUGUGAAACUCAAAGGAAUUGACGGGGGCCCGCACAAGCGGUGGAGUAUGUGGUUUGAUUCGAUGCAACGCGAAGAACCUUACCAGGGCUUGACAUCCCGCGAACCUUGAUGAAAGUUGAGGGUGCCUUCGGGAACGCGGAGACAGGUGGUGCAUGGCUGUCGUCAGCUCGUGUCGUGAGAUGUUGGGUUAAGUCCCGCAACGAGCGCAACCCACGUCCUUAGUUGCCAUCAUUAAGUUGGGCACUCUGGGGAGACUGCCGGGGACAACUCGGAGGAAGGUGUGGAUGACGUCAAGUCAUCAUGCCCCUUACGUUCUGGGCUACACACGUACUACAAUGCUUCGGACAAAGGGCAGCCAACUAGCGAUAGUGAGCUAAUCCCAUAAACCGAGGCACAGUUCAGAUUGCAGGCUGCAACUCGCCUGCAUGAAGGAGGAAUCGCUAGUAAUCGCCGGUCAGCAUACGGCGGUGAAUACGUUCCCGGGCCUUGCACACACCGCCCGUC
rnacentral:rRNA from 1 species